ACGACCUUACUUGAACAGGAUCUGUUCUAUUGGCUCGUACCUCUGUAUCCUUGAGUUCUAAGGAGACAGGAUUCCAAGUCUGGUUGAUGAACAGUGGCUGUGUGAUCAGAGCGUGAUUACUGGUCUUUGUGGUUCUAGAUGUUGAUCUCACCAGGACCGCAGAGGAUCGUUCUCAGCUGGCUUUGACUAGCUGGGAUGGUCACGCAGCUGUCUGACAGACU